AUGGUGGGCUUGGAGAAAAAUUAAGAAAAAUGAAAGAGGGAGUGAUGGGUUGAGGCGGAUGAUGGUUGUCACUUUAUGUAGGAUGGUUAGAGGAGGCCUAAGUGGGAAAAGAGUAAGUCAUACUAGCAUCUAGAGGCAGUGAAUCCUGGAAGGUAAGAGGCUUUGAGGAUGAAGCAUGCUCGGGUUUGGGUAACACUUUCAGGUUGGGUGACCACAUGUUAAGGUUUGCUAAGGACAUUCUUGGUUUAUGCUUGCUGUCUGCUUAAUUGUUAACAAUACCUUCUUUCACUCUCAAAAGUGUCUUGGUUUGGAAAAUAAAUUAUAAUGACAUGCACACACAGAUAUAUAUACAUGCAUGUACUCACAUACAGGAAUAAAUGAAUAAAGCUUUCCAAGGAACUGAAAAGAGGUUAUCUUUGAAAUGGGAUUAGGUUUGGGGAAGAGUUGUAUUUGUUUGAAUUUUAUAUCAAGUGUAUGCUUUACUUCCAAAAUUAAAGAAAAUCAAAACAAUUAAAGGACACAUCUGUCAAACAAUCAGAAGGAUUGUACACUUUAGUUUUCUUAUGCUAGAAGUAAGUCAUGGAUGAGGAUGUCAGAUUCUAUUGGAAAUGACAUCUGAAUGAGACAAAAAAUAAAUAUUUGAGACUAAAUGUUGGUUAUUUGGCUCUGAAAGUGUGGUCAAACACAGGGUAAGGCCCUAUAUGCCUGGUGCUAGGGCUGGCUGCCCCAUUUACUUAACACCACCCCAUUCUUUCUAACAGUAUGGAAAGCCAAGGACUGAAGACGGAAUGGAAACAUUUUCUGUCAUGUUCAACGUUCAACACAUCUUUUUGAAUGUCUGCUAUGUAUGAGGCACUGGGUUGGGCUCUGGAUAUUAAGUUGACUUGCUCCCUGCUCUUGUAGGACUUAGUCUAGUAGGAGAGACAGACAACAAUAAGCAAAUAUAGACAGAAUGGCAAAUUGUUAUAAGUAUUGUGAAGCAAGUGAAAAGGCUCAGUGUCAGAAAAAAAAAUGAAUGAAUGAAAUAACAUACCACAUGUUCAUUUUGUUGGAGUAAAGACAACAAUAUAAAAGCCAAGGAAAUAAAAACAAAAUGAAACAAAUAGGACCUAAUUAAACUUAAAGGUUUUUUUUUCACAGCAAAGGAAGCCAUUGAUAGAACAAAAACACAAUCUACUGAAUGGAAGAAAAUAUUUGCAAAUGAUAUGACUGAUAAGAGGUUAAUAUGCAAAAUAUAUAAACAGCUCAUACAACUGAACAGCAACAAAACAAACAACUCAAUUUAAAAAUCAACAGAAGAAACCGUAUCAUCAUUUCUCCAAAGAAGACAUGCAAAUGGCCAACAGGCAAAUGAAAAGG
rnacentral:lncRNA from 1 species